rnacentral:rRNA from 1 species
GGGACCUACGGGGCGCAGCAGUGAGGAAUAUCGGUCAAUGGACGAGAGUCUGAACCAGCCAAGUAGCGUGAAGGAUGACUGCCCUAUGGGUUGUAAACUUCUUUUAUAUGGGAAUAAAACGUUCCACGUGUGGGAUUUUGUAUGUACCAUAUGAAUAAGGAUCGGCUAACUCCGUGCCAGCAGCCGCGGUAAUACGGAGGAUCCGAGCGUUAUCCGGAUUUAUUGGGUUUAAAGGGAGCGUAGGUGGAUUGUUAAGUCAGUUGUGAAAGUUUGCGGCUCAACCGUAAAAUUGCAGUUGAAACUGG